UACGGAGGAUCCAAGCGUUAUCCGGAAUCAUUGGGUUUAAAGGGUCCGUAGGCGGGCUUAUAAGUCAGUGGUGAAAGUCUGCAGCUCAACUGUAGAACUGCCAUUGAUACUGUAGGUCUUGAGUCAUUGUGAAGUGGUUAGAAUAUGUAGUGUAGCAGUGAAAUGCAUAGAUAUUACAUAGAAUACCGAUUGCGAAGGUAGAUCACUAAUAAUUUACUGACGCUGAGGGACGAAAGCGUAGGUGGCGAACAGG
rnacentral:misc_RNA from 1 species